GGAUGGGUCAGAGGGUAAAGGUUAUAACUGGUGAGGAUGGGUCAGGAGGUAAAGGUUAUAACUGGUGAGGAUGGGUCAGAGGGUAAAGGUUAUAACUGGUGAGGAUGGGUCAGAGGGAAAAGGUUAUAACUGGUGAGGAUGGGUCAGAGGGUAAAGGUUAUAACUGGUGAGGAUGGGUCAGAGGGUAAAGGUUAUAACUGGUGAGGAUGGGGUAAAGGUUAUAACUGGUGAGGAUGGGUCAGAGGGUAAAGGUUAUAACUGGUGAGGAUGGGUCAGAGGGUAAAGGUUAUAACUGGUGAGGUGUGGGUCAGAGGGUAAAGGUUAUAACUGGUGAGGAUGGGUCAGGGGGUAAAGGUUAUAACUGGUGAGGAUGGG
rnacentral:lncRNA from 1 species